CUAAAGAUGAGGCUGCGGCGGAUUAGGUUGUUGGCGGGGGAACUGCCCACCAAGCCUGUGAUCCGUAAGGGCUCUUAGCGGAGAGGCCAUGAGAGGUAAUCUGAGACACUAUUCCCAGCCCUACGGGGUGCAGCAGUCGGGAGUUUUCUGCAAUGCGCGCAAGCGUGACAGAGCGAACCAAAGUGUUUCUCAUUGAGAAACUUUUGCCAAAUGUAAAAAGUUUGGCGAAUAAGGACUGGGUAAGACUAGUGCCAGCCGCCGCGGUAAUCCUAGCGGUCCAAGUCGCAGCCAACAUUAUUAGGUCUAAAACAUCCGUAGCUUGCUCUGUAAGUCUCUUGUGAAAUCUGACAUCUCAAGUGUCAGGCGUGCAAGAGGUACUGCAAAGCUAGAGACUGGAGAGACGUAAGAAGUACGGUUAAAGUAGUGGUAAAAUACGUUAAUCUUAGCCGGACUCACAACAGCGAAGGCAUCUUACGAGAACAGUUCUGACAGUGAGGGAUGAAGGCUAGGGGCGCAAAACGGAUUAGAUACCCGUGUAGUCCUAGCAGUAAACACUGCACACUAAACAUCGGGAUCUCCUCGAGAGGUUUCGGUGCUGAAGGGAAGCCGAAGAGUGUGCUACCUGGGAAGUAUAGUCGCAAGGCCGAAACUUAAAGGAAUUGGCGGGGAGACACUACAACGGGUGACGCGUGCGGUUCAAUUAGAUUCUACACCGUGAACCUCACCAGGACCGACAGCAGAAUGAAGGUCAGCCUGAAGGACUUACCUGACACGCUGAGAGGAGUUGCAUGGCCGACGUCAGCCUGUGCCGUGAGGUGACUUGUUAAAUCAAGUAACAGGCGAGACCCACAUCUCUAUUUACUACGUGUACAAUAGAGAGAUUGCCCUCGUAAGAUGGAUGAAAGUGUGGGCUACGUUAGGUGAGUACGGCCCGACAGCCCUGGGCGACACGCGCGCGUCAAUGGUGGAUACAGCGGGAUGCGACUCCGUAAGGAGAAGCUAAUCUCUUAAAGUCCAUCUCAGUCUAGAUUGAGGUUUGAAACUCAGCCUCAUGACACUGGAAUCCGUAGUAAUCGUUUGUUAGCAGCGAACGGUGAAUACGUCACUGUCUCUUGCACACACUGCCCGUCAAACCAACCGAGUUAUGCUAUGGUGAAACUCUUCGGAGGAGAGCCAUGGUAUAGUGAGGUAGGUUAAGUCGUCACAAGGUAACUGUAGGGGAACCUGCAGUUG
rnacentral:rRNA from 1 species